rnacentral:lncRNA from 1 species
UUGGGACUGGGUUAGUAGGAGAUUAUGCCUAAAAUUGGGGGAUUGUGGGAUUUUUUUUGUUUUUUAUUUUUAUUAUUUUUCUCUCUCUUCCCAAAUUCCCUCUGACUUUAGUUUCUUCAAUUUUUUGACAUUGUUUUUUCCUUUCUUUUCCCUUUCUGGCAUUUUUCCCCUUCUCUGCAAAACGUUGUUUUGUUCUUCGAUUCUGUUCAUGAACCUGUCGUUCAAUCCUGCUUCUGGAAUUGUGGGGUUCUU